rnacentral:rRNA from 1 species
GUCGAACGGUAACAGGAAGCAGCUUGCUGCUUUGCUGACGAGUGGCGGACGGGUGAGUAAUGUCUGGGAAACUGCCUGAUGGAGGGGGAUAACUACUGGAAACGGUAGCUAAUACCGCAUAACGUCGCAAGACCAAAGAGGGGGACCUUCGGGCCUCUUGCCAUCGGAUGUGCCCAGAUGGGAUUAGCUAGUAGGUGGGGUAAAGGCUCACCUAGGCGACGAUCCCUAGCUGGUCUGAGAGGAUGACCAGCCACACUGGAACUGAGACACGGUCCAGACUCCUACGGGAGGCAGCAGUGGGGAAUAUUGCACAAUGGGCGCAAGCCUGAUGCAGCCAUGCCGCGUGUAUGAAGAAGGCCUUCGGGUUGUAAAGUACUUCCAGCGGGGAGGAAGGGAGUAAAGUUAAUACCUUUGCUCAUUGACGUUACCCGCAGAAGAAGCACCGGCUAACUCCGUGCCAGCAGCCGCGGUAAUACGGAGGGUGCAAGCGUUAAUCGGAAUUACUGGGCGUAAAGCGCACGCAGGCGGUUUGUUAAGUCAGAUGUGAAAUCCCCGGGCUCAACCUGGGAACUGCAUCUGAUACUGGCAAGCUUGAGUCUCGUAGAGGGGGGUAGAAUUCCAGGUGUAGCGGUGAAAUGCGUAGAGAUCUGGAGGAACACCGGUGGCGAAGGCGGCCCCCUGGACGA